GCGAAGGUGGCGGAAUUGGUAGACGAGCAACCUUCAGGUGUUAGUGUUUUUACGGACGUUGGGGUUCAAGUCCCCACCCUAGCACCA
rnacentral:tRNA from 1 species